CCUACGGGUGGCAGCAGUGGGGAAUAUUGGACAAUGGGGGCAACCCUGAUCCAGCCAUGCCGCGUGUGUGAAGAAGGCCCUCGGGUUGUAAAGCACUUUCAGUGAGGAAGAACGCCUGGUGGUUAAUACCCAUCAGGAAAGACAUCACUCACAGAAGAAGCACCGGCUAACUCCGUGACAGCAGCCGCGGUAAUACGGAGGGUGCGAGCGUUAAUCGGAAUUACUGGGCGUAAAGCGCGCGUAGGUGGCUUGAUAAGCCGGUUGUGAAAGCCCCGGGCUCAACCUGGGAACGGCAUCCGGAACUGUCAAGCUAGAGUGCAGGAGAGGAAGGUAGAAUUCCCGGUGUAGCGGUGAAAUGCGUAGAGAUCGGGAGGAAUACCAGUGGCGAAGGCGGCCUUCUGGACUGACACUGACACUGAGGUGCGAAAGCGUGGGUAGCAAACAGGAUUAGAUACCCGAGUAGUC
rnacentral:rRNA from 1 species